rnacentral:rRNA from 1 species
AACGAACGCUGGCGGCAGGCCUAACACAUGCAAGUCGAGCGAGGACUUCGGUCCUAGCGGCGGACGGGUGUGUAACGCGUGGGAACGUGCCCUUUGCUUCGGAAUAGCCCUGGGAAACUGGGAGUAAUACCGGAUGAGCCAUUCGGGGGAAAGAUUUAUCGGCGUAGGAUCGGCCCGCGUUGGAUUAGGUAGUUGGGGGGGUAAUGGCCUACCAAGCCGACGAUCCAUAGCUGGGUUGAGAGGAUGAUCCGCCACACUGGGACUGGGACACGGCCCAGACUCCUACGGAAUGCAGCAGUGGGGAAUCUUAGACUAUGGGGGAAACCCUGAUCUAGCCAUGCCGCGUGAGCGAUGAUGUCCUUAGGGUUGUAAAGCUCUUUCAGCUGGGAAGAUAAUGACGGUACCAGCAGAAGAAGCCCCGGCUAACUCCGUG